rnacentral:tmRNA from 1 species
GGGGGCGUUCCGGUUUCGACGGGAUGUUUGACGCGCUGGUCGCACGUGGAGGUUGAUCGGUUGGCCUCUUGAAAAGCCGAUCAAAACAAAUAAAUGCAGACUCUCACGAGCUCGCAUUGGCUGCUUAAUUGACAGUCACGUCCGAACCCUGAUGUCUGUUAAGGGCAAGGACGACACUCAACAGGCUGGGCUGGAAGCCGGGUAACCGGGCGUCCGGUCGAGAUCAAACAGGUUUCUAGGAAAGACAACGCUGUCCGCAGGCCCAGUCUCUCCGAAAUACCAGACCGCGGACUAAACGUGUAGAAGCCAGAGCUGAUGGCGUUUCGGACACGGGUUCGACUCCCGUCGCCUCCACCA